rnacentral:lncRNA from 1 species
CAGGCCUUUCAAGACUAUUCUUUGGUAAAAUGCGACGAUAUUAAGAAUGACCUACUCAGUUACAUAGACAUGUUUGACAACAUAGGAAAUUGCCGAAACAUAUUGGGCGUAUUCGAAGAAUCGUUUCGAAUCCUUUGCAACGGAAUGCUGGACUAUGUCGUCAUCGGCUGCGACUGCCGACCAGAAGCUCAGGAUGGAAACGGCCGAGAAAAGGAUGGCCAGAGAACCCGACGCUGUUUUGAAAGA